UCUUGUGGACGAGCAAAGAAAGUAGUUUCUUGAGAUGGAAUCUACUCCUGUUGAAGAUGCUAUAAA
rnacentral:pre_miRNA from 1 species